AUCUCUGUCCACCUCUCUGCCCCUCUCCUUCCCUUCUCCUUCUCUUAAUCCAUACCUUAUUCUCUCUCCCUCUUUCUCCUUUGGUGUGUGUGUGUAUGUAUGUGGUAUGUACAUGUAUGUGUGUACUUAUGAUGAAACAUUCACCCAUGCAUGCAUACGUGAAUGCCAGGUGAUGAUAUUUAAUGUCUUUCCCUGUUACUUUGCACUUCAGUUUUCCAAGAUAAGGUUUCUUAUAGAGUCCACAGUUCAUGGUUUUCGCUAGAGCGGCUGGCCAGUGGGCUCCUGUGACCCACUUGUGUCAGUUCUGGGCCUCAGCACUGGGUUUCCAGGCUAUUUUUAAUGUGGGUUCUACUGACAUGAACUCAGAGCCUCAUGUUUGCACAAGCAUUUUACCCACUGAGCCGUCUCCAGCUCAGGAACCUGGACUCUGCACAGGUUGCCUUAGUUGCCCCUUCUUCUAUUAUUAAGCUUUCAAGAUCCCACCUUGUAGAUUAGACUUUGCGUGUCCUUAUUACUUCUGCCUUGGCUGCUGCCACAUCUGACUACUAAUCUUAUUUGAAAGACAUCAUUUUUCUUGUCGACACUAUUUUCUUCUGUAUUGUCAAUUUUCUCUUUCCUUCCUCAAAAACCUCAGACAAUCUAAUGGGUCUAGCUUGAGAACAGAAAGAGUUACCUUCAUUCUUGGUAGACUGCUGAAUAUUUUCUGGAUGUGAGACAAGUAGAUAUCAUUCUACCAGGAAUCCAAUAGUGACCAACGUGUGCCAUCAGAUUCACCCCUUCCUCAAGAGAUUUCAAGUAAGUGCAAUUACAGGGCAGUGGUUUACAUAUAGAAGGUAUAAUAGCACUAGAGUAAAGGCAUUAUUCCCCAACCCCAGGGAAAAGUGUUUAACUUCCAGACAAUUGUGAGCCUCAUAAUCCAAUAACAAGAUGAGGCCCAUUGGACUUGCAAACUUUAUAUGCCCCAGU
rnacentral:lncRNA from 1 species